rnacentral:rRNA from 1 species
GAGUUUGAUUCUGGCUCAGGACGAACGCUGGCGGCGUGCUUAACACAUGCAAGUCGAACGGUGAUGAGGAGCUUGCUUCUCUGAUCAGUGGCGAACGGGUGAGUACACGUGAGCAAUCUGCCCUUGACUCUGGGAUAAGCGUUGGAAACGACGUCUAAUACCGGAUACGACUCUUGGAGGCAUCUCUGGGGGUGGAAAGAAUUUUGGUCAAGGAUGAGCUCGCGGCCUAUCAGCUUGUUGGUGAGGUAAUGGCUCACCAAGGCGACGACGGGUUGCCGGCCUGAGAGGGUGACCGGCCACACUGGGACUGAGACACGGCCCAGACUCCUACGGGAGGCAGCAGUGGGGAAUAUUGCACAAUGGGCGAAAGCCUGAUGCAGCAACGCCGCGUGAGGGACGACGGCCUUCGGGUUGUAAACCUCUUUUAGUAGGGAAGAAGCGUAACAGUGACGGUACCUGCAGAAAAAGCACCGGCUAACUACGUGCCAGCAGCCGCGGUAAUACGUAGGGUGCAAGCGUUGUCCGGAAUUAUUGGGCGUAAAGAGCUCGUAGGCGGUUUGUCGCGUCUGCUGUGAAAACCCGAGGCUCAACCUCGGGCCUGCAGUGGGUACGGGCAGACUAGAGUGCGGUAGGGGA